AUUGAACGCUAGCGGCAUGCUUUACACAUGCAAGUCGAACGAGUGGCGGACGGGUGAGUAAUGUAUGGGAACGUGCCCAGUAGCGGGGGAUAACUACUCGAAACGGUAGCUAAUACCGCAUACCAUCAGAUGUGCCCAUAUGGGAUUAGCUAGUUGGUGGGGUAAAGGCUCACCAAGGCAACGAUCCCUAGCUGGUCUGAGAGGAUGACCAGCCACACUGGAACUGAGACACGGUCCAGACUCCUACGGGAGGCAGCAGUGGGGAAUAUUGGACAAUGGGCGCAAGCCUGAUGCAGCCAUGCCGCGUGUAUGAAGAAGGCCUUCGGGUUGUAAAGUACUUUCAGCGAGGAGGCGUUACCCGCAGAAGAAGCACCGGCUAACUACGUGCCAGCAGCCGCGGUAAUAC
rnacentral:rRNA from 1 species